UACGGAGGGGGCUAGCGUUAUUCGGAAUUACUGGGCGUAAAGCGCGCGUAGGCGGCUUUCCAAGUUGAGGGUGAAAUCCCGGGGCCUAACCCCGGAACUGCCUUCAAAACUAGAGAGCUUUGAGUAUGGGAGAGGUGAGUGGAAUAUCUAGUGUAGAGGUGGAAUUCGUAGAUAUUAGAAGGAACACCAGUGGCGAAGGCGGCUCACUGGCCCAUAACUGACGCUGAGGCGCGACAGCGUGGGGAUCAAACAGG
rnacentral:rRNA from 1 species